CGCUAUCGUACGCCUCUGUCAAUAUCCCCACUCAUUCACUCAAACAGUCAAACCAACAAAAAAUACACAUCCUUUCUUUCUUUCUUUCUCCUCCUACAAACCCUAACUCUCCAGAACGGGAAACUUUCAGUGCUUGAUUAUAAGCGAGUUGUUUUAAAAAAAGGGAAUAUGGGUAAGAAUGAAGCAAUGGUGGUUAGAUUGCAGAAGAAUGGGAUAAUUAGUUCAAAGAAGGUAGCUGAAGUUAUGGAGAGCAUCGAUAGGGGAUUAUUUGUUCCUGAUGGGAUUCAAUCUUAUGUUGACACCCCUUUGGCUAUAGGGUAUAAUGCAACUAUAUCUGCUCCUCAUAUGCAUGCUGUGUGUCUCCAACUUUUAUUGGAGAAUUUGCAACCAGGAAUGCAUGCUUUAGAUGUUGGAUCAGGAACGGGAUAUCUGACUGCAUGUUUUGCCGUGAUGGUUGGAUCCCAAGGGCAUGCUAUCGGCAUCGAGCACAUACCUGAGUUGGCAAGUACUUCCCUUGAGAAUAUAAAAAACAGUGCAGCUGCACCGUUCCUGGAGGAAGGCUCCCUCUCUAUACAUGUCAGUGAUGGAAGGCUUGGUUGGCCAGAAUUUGCACUCUAUGAUGCUAUUCAUGUAGGUGCAGCAGCUCCAGAAAUUCCGCAAGCACUUAUACAGCAGUUAAAGCCAGGAGGUAGAUUGGUGAUUCCAGUUGGUGUCGAUGUACAGAAUUUACAGGUUGUGGACAAGAAAAUGGAUGGAUCCGUCACCGUCAGAAAUGAACUUGCGGUGCGUUACAUUCCACUGACCAGUCUUAAAGCUCAGUUGAAUGGAUAUUGAAAGUAUUAAGUGUUUCUGUUCCAAGAGAUACUUAAGUUAAUGCAGGAUCAGAAAGACAAGGUGCGUGACAAUGGGCUUGCUCUCCAGUCUCCAUUCUUGGUUAUGCUGUAUAUACAUUUAGUUUUGUACAGGUAGCCUAAAAAGGUAGAUAUUGAGUAACAUCAUCAAAAUGGGUUGUUUGGACAAUGGUGCUUUUAUACCGAGUAGUUCUUGCCUCAAACCUGUGGCACUUUUGCCGUGAGAGUUGAUUGUUCGACUUACUCAUUGUUUCAGUAUUGCUCCCUUCACAGAAGCACCUCCCAUGUUCUUUAGGUAGUUACUCCAAGGAAGUAAAGUUUCUUAAGGCACCCGCAACUGUUAAUUAAAGGCACCCGCAACUGUUAAUUAAAGGCACCUGUUGGCACUA